CUAUUAUCAUGUCACUAAGAGCAAGAGGAAGACAAAAUGAUAGUUUGAAGAGGGUUGUCACCAUACGCAAUGAAAGUAAUGUUUCAGUAGAUGUUGUGCUAUGGGUGAGCGCGCCUCUUCUUUCCCAGCU